AUGCGCACUUUCACUUACACCUACAGUUGACGCUACUUUGACCAGCUUUCCAUCGAUAACGUGCUUCGCUAACUUCAAGUUUGAAUAAAUGAUGUAUUUUAUAAACUAACCGGGGGACUCAAGACGCAGGCUGAUAUUUUAACUCCCUGAACUUACGCACAGGUGCGGCUGACAUUCAUCCCUCACCUUCCCGGGGAUCUUGCAGCCUGCCCUGAUGACAGGCGAGCAGAACGGAGACCUCCUGGAAGAGGAUUCCCAGCAGGAAAAUGGAGUCCAGUCGAACCAUUACAGCACCAUCUCUCCUCCUGCCUCACCUGUGGCACAAGAGGAACCUUUCUCCACCUACUUUGAGGAGAGGGUUCCCAUUCCAGAAAGUCCCAACCAGAUAUUCAGUUUCCGUAAACUCUGGGCUUUCACCGGACCGGGGUUUUUGAUGAGCAUUGCUUACUUGGAUCCUGGGAACAUCGAAUCAGACCUGCAGUCUGGGGCAAAAGCUGGUUUUAAGCUCCUAUGGGUGCUGCUUGUGUCCACCAUCAUUGGGCUGCUGCUGCAGAGGCUCGCUGCACGCCUCGGCGUCGUCACCGGGAUGCACCUGGCUGAGGUCUGCAACCGCCAGUAUCCCACCGUUCCACGGAUUAUUCUCUGGUUAAUGAUCGAGCUGGCUAUUAUUGGUUCAGACAUGCAGGAGGUCAUCGGCUGUGCCAUAGCUUUCAACCUUCUGUCAGUGGGCAGGAUCCCACUGUGGGCAGGAGUUCUCAUCACCAUCACAGACACAUUUGUGUUCCUCUUUUUAGACAAAUACGGCUUGAGGAAACUUGAAGCUUUCUUUGGAUUUCUGAUUACUGUAAUGGCCAUAAGUUUUGGUUAUGAGUACGUUCUGGUGAAACCGGAUCAGGGAGAGGUUCUUAAAGGGAUGUUUUUGCCGUACUGUGCUGACUGCGGGCCCGUGCAGCUGGAGCAGGCCGUGGGAAUCGUUGGUGCUGUCAUCAUGCCCCACAACAUCUACCUGCACUCAGCGCUUGUAAAGUCCAGAGAAGUGGAUCGGAAAAAUAAGAAGGAAGUAAAAGAAGCCAAUAAGUACUUUUUUAUCGAAUCAUCUGUCGCCCUUUUCGUGUCCUUCCUCAUCAACGUCUUCGUCGUCGCAGUCUUUGCUCAGGCUUUUUACAAUAAAACUAACAUGGACGUGUACGAUGAGUGCAACAAGACCGGCAUCCACCACGACGACCUCUUCCCUCUCAACAAUGGCACUCUGGAGGUGGACAUCUACAAAGGGGGAGUGGUGUUGGGGUGUUUCUUUGGACCUGCAGCUCUCUACAUCUGGGCUGUCGGGAUUCUGGCAGCCGGUCAGAGCUCCACCAUGACGGGCACUUACUCUGGACAGUUUGUGAUGGAGGGGUUUCUGAACCUGAAGUGGUCUCGUUUUGCUCGGGUGCUGCUGACCCGUUCCAUCGCUAUCACGCCAACGCUCCUCGUCGCCAUUUUCCAGGACGUUCACCAUCUGACGGGGAUGAACGACUUCCUCAAUGUGCUUCAAAGCAUGCAGCUUCCGUUUGCUUUGAUCCCGAUCCUGACGUUCACCAGUCUGACUUCCAUCAUGAAUGACUUUGCUAACGGGCUGGCGUGGAAGAUUGCAGGAGGCGUCCUCAUCCUGGUGGUUUGUGCAAUCAACAUGUACUUUGUGAUUGUUUAUGUGACUGCGCUGAACAGCAUCCUGCUCUACGUUAUCGCUGCUCUCCUCUCCUUGGCAUACCUGGCCUUCGUGAUCUACCUGGCUUGGCACUGCCUGGUUGCCCUGGGGGUUUCCUGCCUGGACUGUGGCAGCAGGAUGGACGGUGGACUGUCCCGCCACACAGACCUGUACCUACUGAAUGACAUGGAGACGGAACCGCAGGCUGAGAGAUAAUGGGACGCCGGGUGCAGUCCGGUGCUGCACUCUGACUGUAGACGCAUGAUUUGACUGGAGGGAACCUCUGAAGCUCGGCCAGUAUAACUUUCUCUUCAACCCUCGGCGUCUCACAUCAGCUGAAGUGUCCUUACGGCGCACCAAGAGACUUUUAAACAGCAUCUCAGACGCUUCGUCUUUCUUGGACAGCAUCUUGUGUAUUAAAUGGUGUGUGGAUGCUAAAGGGAGAUCUGAGAAGCUGGAUAAUGCCAAGGACACUUGGUGUUAGCGACCACACACUGCAGCACAUAUUCAAUCAUUUCCUUUCGUGAACAAAUCAAAUAAUGAAACCUCAAUAGCAAAUUAUCAGAGCAAUAGAUUCAGAGAAACAGUGGUGCUUGAAUGCUGGUGUCCAUCAUUCCCAACAAGCUACUGCACACUGCUCUUUAUUAGCCAUUUUUUUCUCACCUUCAACAUUUUUAUCCGUCAGGGAAAACAUACAAUAGUUUAUAUAAUUAUCUGCAUAUUUAUAAAUAUGUUACUGCUACAUUAUCAGGUCAUACUGUAUGUCGCAGUAUGUUUGUUGUUUUAAACGUUAGCUCUUUGUCGGGGACCAAGCUGCUUCCCUUUAUGUUACAAAAUCCUGGGAUAAAUUAUUUAUUCAGAUAUUUAACUCAAAGUCAUUGUAAAAAGUGAGAAGGGUGUUCAAUAUGAGUAAAAAAAGUCAUCUGGUCUUUAAGCACUUACUUUAGACUGACAUUGAUUUUUUUUUUCUCCAAAUAAUUUUAAAGACAUUUGUGGCCGAAUGGUGAAUUUAGUAUGAUACAAGCAUGCUAAAUAAAACUCAGAAAUCAUUUAUAAUUAACAAGUAUAAAAAAUUUUAAUUUCACUAUGGUUGAAUUAAAUUAUAUUUUUAUUUCAUACAAAAAAACAGAUGAUUUUUUAAAAAUUUUAACCUGAAUGAUCAAACAUGAAAUUAUUUGUACAAUGACAAAGUUCAUAGUUAAAAUAUCUAAGAUGAAUGUAAAAGAUAAAAGGUUUAAUAUAUAUGAUGUAUUGGUCACAUUUCUCCCUUUGUUGUUUUUUUAAAUAAUAUAUAAGAAAAUAUCAGAGUUUUUUUUGUUGAAUAUCUAAGGAACCCAUUUGCUCCAAGAGUACAAAGUUGAUGUUAUCUUAUGUUUGGCAAAAAAGUUACUUUAAUUUGAAAGAAUGUUAAUUAUUAUACGUAAGCUGCAGUGUUUUUUUUCUGUUUGAAACCAUGUCACCACUUUCCGUUACUUUUUGUGUCUUAUUGUAAGCAUCACAACGCAACCGUUGACAAAAACCGGAUGGUGUUUAUAGGAGAACGUGAAGUUAUGCAGCAGCGUUUUUGUCUUCAAAUGUUCAAUCUGUAAUUUUUCAGAAAUACUAGCCUGUGAUGCUGCUGUUCAUUCUUUGCUUUGAAAGUGCCAAGUUAAGCUUUAGGCAUGCAUCACUUGUGACAAGUUGGAGGAGAUAAUGCUGAGAUCAAAUGUGCUUCUUCAGGUAUUUCAUUAGAGUUUUAAUAAUAAUAAUAAUAUGCAAUAAAUCACCUAAAUUGUUAACAAACACAACCGAAGUGACAAUUCACUAUGUGUUCCCAUUCUUCGCACGUUCCCGUCAAUUCAACUUUUUUCACGAACCUGCAACAGCGUUUUACUCUGAUGGAUAAAUUCUUUACCCAUGUUUCUGCUUCCAUCUUUUUACCUGAGGUCAGUUAAGUUUUAUUUUAAAAAUCUGUAUUUCUGUUUCUAGCUGUGCAUUUUUUCUGUUUCCAAUGUUUCAGUUGGUCUAGAUGUCUUGAAAAGAUACACUAGCUUGUUUUGAUUUCCCCCAACUUUGUGCAUUCUGUUACCGAAAAAAAAAAAAAUGCAGCAAAUAACUUAGAAACAAAUGUGUGUCGCAAAACUGGCAGCUAAAGUGAACUGCUGUGAUAUUUGUGGGGCGAUGCAUACAUCCUACAGAGUAUUUGUAACUUAAGGUUGUUGUAUGAUUUUUAUUAUUAUUUAAUUUAAAAGAUGGACUAAAGUGCAUUCAGAGAAAUUAAUAGAAAUCAGAAGUAACAGAUUUAGGGCAGUGACCUUUCAAAAUAAAAGCAGCUAGUAACAAGAGGCUACUAGACAAGAGGAAGAGCAGAAGAAAAAUACUAGAUUAUUAACAGCUGUACCAUCAUCCAUGGUAACUGUGAAUGUGGACUACUGAUUUGCAUCAUUAAAUCCAAAUUCUUCUCCUGACCAAAUAUCAAACUGAACUUGUACUGUAUGUUUUUAUUCCACAGUGCCUCCUAUGCUCACCAGCGUGCCUCAGCUAACAAAUGUUUGGCACACUUUUAUUUUUAAAUAGAUUUUUUUUUUAAAAAGCAUCUGAGUACAUGAGAAAAAAUGAAAGAUAUAUUUGAAAACCUACAUAAGCUUUAUAAGUUGAGUCUUUGAUAAUGUUCUGAAACGCUAGCAUUUGGAUUAUAUUGUGUUACAUGUAGAUCUCCACGUUUUAAAGACGUUCCAAUGUCAUGCUAAUUUUGGCACAUUUCUGGUCUGUAGACAGAAAGCUACUGAGGUGAUAUGUUGUUUUUCAGAACUUAUGAAACUGCACAGUAGGGUCCACCAUUGAAAACAUGUGUAAAGGUGGUUUUCUCCCAUCUGUAUUUUAAUGUUUUAAUAUUGGUUCUAUUCAAUAAAUUUGAAUAUUCUGCUGAG